rnacentral:rRNA from 1 species
CUGAACCAGCCAAGUAGCGUGAAGGAUGACUGCCCUAUGGGUUGUAAACUUCUUUUAUAAAGGAAUAAAGUCGGGUAUGCAUACCCGUUUGCAUGUACUUUAUGAAUAAGGAUCGGCUAACUCCGUGCCAGCAGCCGCGGUAAUACGGAGGAUCCGAGCGUUAUCCGGAUUUAUUGGGUUUAAAGGGAGCGUAGAUGGAUGUUAAGUCAGUUGUGAAAGUUUGCGG